rnacentral:misc_RNA from 1 species
GAUCAUUAAAGAAAUUUAAUAAUUUUGAAAAUGGAUUUUUUUGUUUUGGCAAGAGCAUGAGAGCUUUUACUGGGCAAGAAGACAGGAGAUGGAGAGUCCAGCCGGGCCUGCGCUUAAGUGCGCGGUCUUGCUAGGCUUGUAAGUUUCUUUCUUGCUAUUCCAAACGGUGAGAGAUUUCUGUGCUUUUGUUAUAGGACAAUUAAAACCGUUUCAAUACAACACACUGUGGAGUUUUCAUAUCUUUGCAACUUUUUCUUUGGGCAUUCGAGCAAUCGGGGCCCAGAGGUAACAAACACAAACAAUUUUAUCUAUUCAUUAAAUUUUUGUCAAAAACAAGAAUUUUCGUAACUGGAAAUUUUAAAAUAUUAAAAACUUUCAACAACGGAUCUCUUGGUUCUCGCAUCGAUGAAGAACGCAGCGAAAUGCGAUACGUAAUGUGAAUUGCAGAAUUCCGUGAAUCAUCGAAUCUUUGAACGCACAUUGCGCCCCUUGGUAUUCCAGGGGGCAUGCCUGUUUGAGCGUCAUUUCCUUCUCAAACAUUCUGUUUGGUAGUGAGUGAUACUCUUUGGAGUUAACUUGAAAUUGCUGGCCUUUUCAUUGGAUGUUUUUUUUCCAAAGAGAGGUUUCUCUGCGUGCUUGAGGUAUAAUGCAAGUACGGUCGUUUUAGGUUUUACCAACUGCGGCUAAUCUUUUUUUAUACUGAGCGUAUUGGAACGUUAUCGAUAAGAAGAGAGCGUCUAGGCGAACAAUGUUCUUAAAGUUUGACCUCA